GAGCUCAGGGACGGUAGUGCUGGCCCAGUGCACGGUAAAUUUCACUUCCUGCUUCAAGCUUUGCCCCAGCCCCUGCCCCUACCACACUCUCAGGUUCAACCCUUCCCUUGUUUCAAAGACCAGUUUCUCUGCUUCUGGGAACUGGGAACCAUCCCCAACUGCAACCCAAAAAACUCUGGCUCCCCCAUGUUCCCCACAGAAGCCCUACCCAAGCUCCCUCCUCAAAGGACCACCCCAUCCCCUCGCCUUACCCCUCUCCCUGCCUCCAGGUGGAGAAGGUGCACACCUUCCUGGAUUACAUCAUGGGUGGCUGCCAGAUCAGCUUCACGGUAAAGACUCAGAGCGGGGGCACACAGGCAAGAGGGAGGGGCUGAGUCCAUAGUGAAAGGAAGGAGCCCAGAAUCUCCACUGCCCCAACUUGGGCUGCUCAUGAGCCUUCGCAUUGUCAGUUUAUGCCCCACCCCCAUCAUUAUGUGGCUACUUGUAGCCUCCCCACCACUCGUCUUAGUCCUCCCUACAGAUCCCAGCUCUGGCCUAGGCAAUCUCGUGGCUCUAAUGGCUGCAGCAUGACCUUUUUCCCACCCCCACCCAGGUGGCCAUCGACUUCACCGCCUCCAAUGGAGACCCGAGGAGCAGCCAGUCCCUGCACUGCCUCAGUCCCCGACAGCCCAACCACUACCUGCAGGCCCUGCGUGCAGUGGGAGGCAUCUGCCAGGACUAUGACAGGUAGGAGGGAGUGGGGUGGGAGGGAACAGGCAGGGAGGCCUUGCCCGACGGAUUCCACAGCUUUUUCUUCUCCCCAGUGAUAAGCGGUUCCCAGCUUUUGGCUUUGGGGCUCGAAUCCCCCCCAACUUCGAGGUAGGCUAUAUGCGAGGGAAAGCAGGAGAUGGGGAGCGUGUCAGUCAGGCAGAAAAGGCAGGCCCUCACUGCUCCCGCCUUGCCCUCACAGGUGUCCCAUGACUUUGCUAUCAACUUUGACCCGGAAAAUCCUGAAUGUGAAGGUAAAAGGGGAGAUUUUCACCUGCCUCGCCUCCCCCCAGACACACUCCACACAGGAGCACAGACUCCAUCCCCAAGGGCCCAGCUUCCUGUCCCUUCCACCCAUCCCAGGCCUGGUCGUUAUCAGAGAUCUCAGGGGUCAUUGCCUCCUACCGUCGUUGCCUGCCCCAGAUCCAGCUCUACGGCCCCACCAACGUGGCCCCCAUCAUCAACCGUGUAGCUGAGCCCGCCCAGCGGGAGCAGAGCACCGGCCAAGCCACGAAGUACUCGGUGCUGCUGGUGCUCACUGACGGUGUGGUGAGCGACAUGGCCGAGACUCGCACUGCUAUCGUGCGUGCCUCCCGCCUGCCCAUGUCCAUCAUCAUCGUAGGCGUGGGCAAUGCUGACUUCUCUGACAUGCGGCUGCUGGAUGGCGACGACGGUCCCUUGCGCUGCCCCCGAGGGGUGCCUGCAGCCCGAGACAUUGUCCAGUUCGUGCCCUUCCGAGACUUCAAGGAUGUGAGUCCCCCGGGCCCCUUCUGGCUGAAGGACUCCUCAGCUUCUCAUCCCCCCAAAUCUGACCUUCGUCUUCCACCAUUUGAUGUCCUGCUAAGGACGCGGGAGCCCAGCUGGCCACCCUGAAGCCCCACUUCUCCCUCAGCUGACCCUGCCUCCCCUACUCUUCCUCUCCCCUAACCACAUCACUGUCCCCACCCUAGGCUGCCCCCUCUGCACUCGCCAAGUGUGUCCUGGCUGAGGUGCCACGGCAGGUGGUGGAGUACUACGCCAGCCAGGGCAUCAGCCCUGGGGCUCCCAGGCCCUGCACACUGGCUACGACUCCCAGCCCUAGCCCGUGACUGCCACCCUCCGGACCGACACUCCCUCAGCCUCUCAGUGAGUCCUGGGGGUUCCAAAGGAGUGGACACAGGGGGUGCAAAGUGGGGCUUGGUAGAGCCCAUCUAGGCUGAGUGUAGUGUAGAAGAGAGUGCUUAUGACUCUCCCACCCCCUCCCAGGUGCCUGUCCUGACCCUCGUGACUCCAGUGACCAACGCCUCCACCUCUUGGACCAGCUGUGCCCCCUGGGUUCUGGACGUGAGUGGUGGGCCCUGCUCCUAUCUCUCCAAACCCCAUACCCUUCAAUGCUGUGGCCCCUCAGUGACUUCCUUGGGUGAUCCUGACUUUCUAGCCAUUAAUAAAGAGAACUGCUCCUAGCA
rnacentral:sRNA from 1 species